rnacentral:rRNA from 1 species
GACGUAGGGCGCGAGCGUUGUCCGGAUUUAUUGGGCGUAAAGAGCUCGUAGGCGGCUUGUCGCGUCGUCCGUGAAAACUUGGGGCUCAACCCCAAGCUUGCGGUCGAUACGGGCAGGCUAGAGUUCGGUAGGGGAGACUGGAAUUCCUGGUGUAGCGGUGAAAUGCGCAGAUAUCAGGAGGAACACCAAUGGCGAAGGCAGCUCGCUGGGACGGUACUGACGCUGAGACGCGAAAGCGUGGGGAGCAAACAGG